rnacentral:rRNA from 1 species
GAUUGAACGCUGGCGGCAGGCCUAACACAUGCAAGUCGAGCGGAUGAAGGGAGCUUGCUCCUGGAUUCAGCGGCGGACGGGUGAGUAAUGCCUAGGAAUCUGCCUGGUAGUGGGGGAUAACGUCCGGAAACGGGCGCUAAUACCGCAUACGUCCGGAGGGAGAAGGUGGGGGAUCUUCGGACCUCACGCUAUCGGAUGAGCCUAGGUCGGAUUAGCUAGUUGGUGGGGUAAAGGCCUACCAAGGCGACGAUCCGUAACUGGUCUGAGAGGAUGAUCAGUCACACUGGAACUGAGACACGGUCCAGACUCCUACGGGAGGCAGCAGUGGGGAAUAUUGGACAAUGGGCGAAAGCCUGAUCCAGCCAUGCCGCGUGUGUGAAGAAGGUCUUCGGAUUGUAGAGCACUUUAAGUUGGGAGGAAGGGCAGUAAGUUAAUACCUUGCUGUUUUGACGUUACCAACAGAAUAAGCACCGGCUAACUUCGUG